rnacentral:rRNA from 1 species
AUACGGAGGAUGCGAGCGUUAUCCGGAUUUAUUGGGUUUAAAGGGUGCGUAGGCUGUGCGUUAAGUCAGGGGUGAAAUGCCGUCGCUCAACGACGGAGCUGCCCUUGAUACUGGCGUGCUGGAGUACGGAUGCCGUUGGAGGAAUGAGUGGUGUAGCGGUGAAAUGCUUAGAUAUCACUCAGAACACCGAUUGCGAAGGCAUCUGACGAAUCCGUCACUGACGCUGAGGCACGAAAGCGUGGGGAUAGAACAGAAUUAGAUACCCUGGUAUUCCACGCCGUAAACGAUGAUGACUAACCGUCGGCGAUAGACAGCCGGUGGCCAAGCGAAAGCGAUAAGUCAUCCACCUGGGGAGUACGUCGGCAACGAUGAAACUCAAAUGAAUUGGCGGGG